GGUAUAGCUCAUUGGUAGAGCACUUGUCUGGCAUACAAGAGGCCUUGGGUUCAAUCUCUUAACGAUGCCA
rnacentral:tRNA from 1 species